AGGGCACUGGGGUGUUCCCUAGCUGGGCUGGACCCACAGGCCCCAAUAAAGCACUUCAGGUUAGAAAGCCUAGCAAAAGGACAGGCUUGGUUCAGAGUCACCUGUUGCCUAUUACAAUGAAGUUAGAUGUCUCCUGACCUCAGCCCAUCCCCUGUUGGAUAAAAAGUUUCUGCUUCAGUCUUGCUGUCCACGCCCGUGGAAGAAACUACAAUAGGGGAUUUACUCUCCUGGCCCAAAUCAGGUCGAGCUUCUGGGCCUCCCUACUCCAUGCUGGGGGAUACUGGACAUUCAGAGUGCCUUUCUGUCAGCCCCGCAACACAGCCCCACUGGGGUGGCUGACUGUGCUGACCUUGUGUCUCUGAGCUCAAUUUCAACUGGGGUGUAUCUGAGGGUUAGUCUUCAGAGAACUUGGAAUGAGCAGGGCUUGGAAGCAAUGGAAUCCCAGAAGUAUGGAACACACACAUCACCCAGAUUCUGACUUCUAAUACCAGUCUCUAAAGAAAGGAACAAGACAUCCUGGCAGAUACUGUGGAUUCUAGGGCUGGGCAGGGCAUAUAGAAGAAGAGCCUGGCAUGUCUCAUAGUGCCAGAAUUGGACAUUUUCCCUACUAUGAAGCACAAGCAAGCAAAAUUGUGUUUUCAACAGGCAAUGUCUGUGCAUUGCCUCUUGUUGAGGGCACCCCAAAGUACGUUGAACCAGCAGAGGGAAGAUGUCAGGGAAAGGCCGUGUCCUGGUGGAGGAUGAGGUGGGUGACCCCAGAUGUCAGAGGACAGGAGGCAGAGCAGAUCCACCAAACCUGCUGAGAGGGACCACCCAUUCUGCCCUGCUGUCUCCUGCAGCCAGGGCCAGAUGGCAGAGGCUGUGCUUUCUUCCUCUGGAACAGAGCUGGGACCAGCGAGGUGAAGGGUCUCACUGAGGUCAUUCAACUACAAAAUGCCAGAGCAGGAGUGGAGGCCAAGUCCCCAGGCUCCAAUUCAUGACCUCAAGACCCUGGCAACCACCAUUCUCCUUCCUGCAUCUGUGAAUUUGAUUAGGUACCUCAUGUAAGUGGAAUCAUGCAGUAUGCAUCCUUUCAUAAAUGACUGAUUUAACUUAGCAUAAUGUCUUCAAGGUUCAUGCAUGUUGCAGCAUGUGUCAGAAUUUCACUCCUUUUUAAAGGUAAAUAAUAUUCUAUUGUAUGUUUAUACCACAUUUUAUUUAUAUAUCAUUUGUUGAUGAACACUUGGGUUGCUUCUUCCUUUGGCUUUUUAAAUACUGCUGCUCUGAACAUGUGUGUGCAAAUAUCUGUUCAAGUCCUUGCUUAUUUUUAAUUCUUUUGGGUAUAUACCCGGAAGUGGAAUUGUGGGAUUAUAUGGUAAUUCUGUUUCUAGUUUUUUGAGGAACUGCCAUACUGUUUUCCACAGCAGUUGCCACAUUCUACAUUCCCACCAGCAGGGCACAAGAGUUCCAAUUUCUCCACAUCCUCACGAUUACUUGUUAUUUAUUUAUAUAUUUUUUUGCUAAUAGCCAUACCAAUGGGUGUGAAGUUCACCUUUUUCAUGUGUUGCAAGAAUUUACUUUUACAUGUUAAUUCAUUUAUGCAUUUGAUGUCUUUUUUCCCCCAUCAUGUAUUACAGUAGGUUUAUCUGAACAUCUUGCCCAACCUUUCUUCAGCACUCUGCCAAGUAUUCUGGAUUUUCACAUUUCUGACCACUGCAUCCUAAAAAUUUCUACAGCUCAACUGUAUAUUUGCAGAACACAGCACAAUUAAAAGUCAAGAAGGAGGAGACAGUAAAGGACGAUGAGCAAGUAUGAAGAGAUUCUUCCUUCCCACACUGAGUGCUGUGGUCAGUGCCCCUGUGUCUGUGAGCCAGGUGCCGACUCCCACCCAGUACUCUGGUGAUAUCUGCUGGCCUCCGUGAUUGCUGCUUCGUGAGGUUUCAUUGCUGGGAGGUCUGUGAGCUUCCGGAGGAAGUGGAGGGCCACUUACCAAUCUGUCUGUGAUGCAAACUCACUGGAUGUGCAGUGUCCACCGGGUCCCCUCUGUAUCCUCUCAAUGGAAUUUUUGGGGGGCAAAGGGAAUGGAUUCUAAUGUCAUGUUUCUUGCUGUACUGUAAGGAAUAAAGUCUUUUGUCUCUGACU
rnacentral:lncRNA from 1 species